AGCUCUGAUUACUCCCGGUUUCCAAAUUUGAAUUUAAAUAUUAACAAAAUGUUUGCAAAACUUCACAGAGAUGACUAAGUGCCACAGACUUGAUUUCACUUUUAAUAGUUAUUAUACACCCGGAAGAGUUUAUUAGCAUGCUACCUGCUGUUGCAUAUAUUUCCCCCCAAAAAUGCAUUAAAACCACCCACAUUUCAAAAAUAGGUCUAAGAUGUUAUCCAACUGUAACAAAAUAAUUUCCACUGAAGAAGGAAAGUCAUUAGAAUAGGAAAAAAAUAAAUUAUUCCUACAGUUAUUUUGGGAAUGUCUCCUUCAGGGCUUGUCUACAACUCCACCAGACUCUGGUUUUCAAUCAUUAGUAUGGUUGUUUGAUUACAGAUGCCAAAUUUCUUGGGGGAGCACGGGGGCGGAGAGUUAUCUAUCCCAACCCCUAAAGGAUAACUAAAAUUACUGGAGCUUUUUUUUUUUUUUUUUUCCCCUCCCUUAAACUGAAAAGGAUUAAAUGAUUUUUACAUAGCCCCUCCUAUUGUGAAUGGUGAACAUUUUGCAUAUAAAUUAUUCCAGUAUGGGAACAACAUUUGAAAACACCCUAAACACAGAGAGCUUUACAGCUACAAAGCUUAAGCAACUCAAAACUUAAUCAUGUCACAAUUACAGGAUACCCAUUUAACCUUAAUUUGGCUCCUUUACAUACACAAACUAAUUACAGAGCAUGUUUCCCAGAGUAAGCAUACCUUCUUUGAAAUGAGGCAAGCUUGAGAUGUCAGUGGUUAAACCUUUGAAAAUUGUUUUUGUUUUGCCAGGUGAGGGAAAAAAAUAUGUGAACACUGAAAGACAUGCACGGCUCCAGUAGGAAAAAGUGCCACAGCUGAGAGAAAAGGAAGAACUGAACACUCCGGUCCCGAUCCAGUUUGAUGAACUGCUUGUUAAGCUGCGAAGCAAUGGAGAUAAUGCAGCAAGCACUCCCCAAGCACUGGAAGUGGCGGAUGGAGACAGAUAGUAAGUUAAAGCUAAGGAGCCACAAUCUCAUCUUACACCAACUUGGCUAUUGCAGCUUUAAGAGAGAGGUUUGGAAAGUUUUCCACUCCAUAUUACUCUUGCACACCCCUUCUAAAAUUAGAAAGAGGCAGCUGCCUAUUGCAACCGAAAGAGCGAAUGGAUCCCCCCUAGCCUGCCUCCCCCCCUUUCCUUGACUGACACGGCUCCCAAGAGCUGUGGAGGAAUUUGGGGAAGGGUGCUUCCACCUGUUGAACGUGGAAUGAGGUUGUCCAGGCACUCCAUUAUAAAUCCAACUGUCAGGCACUGACAAUAAAACAGGACACAGGACAGCUGUGAGGACUACAGGAACUCCCUCCCUUCCCCUUCUACAUACUCCUACAAUUUUGCAGCUUUGUCUUACAGCAGAAACAAUGCAUGAAAAAUUGUUCUCUGUGUGAUUUGGGCUUAUAAAACAGAAGUACUCACUAUAGAUCACUUCAGAUUUGGUCUCAGUUUUCCAGCUGUGCUCCAGGGUCUUAGCACAGAAUCUGGCAAGUUGUUCAUGUAUCACUAUGCACCUCCAAAACCACAUUUUUUUCUAAAUGCAUAAUGGCGAUUGCACCACAGACAGUGCAUAUAGCUUCAUUCUGUACAGCAAGUACUUGUAUGUCUACCGUAACAUGGAACUCACCUUGCCUUUUACACCCAAUUCGUGUCGAAUCAAUUAUCAUUUCAAAAUACAUUUUUCACAAUAAGGUAUCAAAGGCAUGACUACUUUUUUUUUAAUUUGUGGACAACGAGUAAACGCUGUUGUUGGUGUAAAAAAAAGGGGGGGGAUUAUUCCUUAUAAUGAGCCUGCUUAGCAUAUUCAAAACUCCUCUGCUCAGUGCAACGUGACUCAGAGCAGGGUGUGCGAGACAAGGUAACAACAGAUGAGGUGAUGUAUUGUUCUAGGUCCCUUUUACAUCAUUUGCUGCUGAAGGCAAAAUAAGUAUUGCCAUCCCCCAGGUGCACAAAGGCAACAGCAGGAAUUGCAGAAGAGGACCCAUGUUCUAUGCUCUACUUGGUCUGGCUACCUGCAGGGGAUUCUUGCUAGCUCCCAGGCGUCUGUCCAUCUGCUCACAACACGAGGAACAGUUUGACUGCCCUGGGAAAAGAUCCCUAGUGGGACAAAAUCCCAGUUUCUCUUUCCUGAGUGUCUCACUCCAGGAAAAGCAAGAUCCUGAGUCAGUUGGUGGAAAAAGCAGUAAAGGAAACAGACAGGUAAUUUCAGAAUUUUGUAUUAAAGAGUUAAAAAUCUAUUUCUAGUAACGUACACAGUUCACUGUUCAACACAACCAAAUGAUCUGUGCUGCCAUUUCUUAUUACCAGAAGAGCACUACAUCUUCCAAUCCAAUUUGCAGAGUGCUGGAAAAUAAGUGUUCUGUACUGUUUUGUCUACAAAUUAGAGCUUGACUGGUUCUGCUCCCCUAGAAUCAUAUUCUACCCAAAGCUUAUAUGAUGUUAAGCCCACAGAACAAGAAUCAUCCCCUUUUCAGCCUCAAGGCCAGACCUGAUGUCUUUGCUGUCUAUAACCACACCUUUGCUAUCACAGGCUAUUUGAUUUGCUGAGUUGUUGACAAUUAAGGAGUCAACUUCAGAAAUGAGAUUUCUCUGGAAGAAGCCAAAGCAUUUUAUCAUUUUGAAAACAUCAGCUGGCUCUGUGUCUGCUGCAGGCAAUGAAAUAAUAAUACAAGGAGGAUAGUAAUCAGCUGCCUGUGAGCAACAGACAGGUAUUACUCUUCACCUCUGGCUGAGGAGGAGUUACUUAAUGAGAUCUGGCUUAGGUACCUGCUGAUACUUAAUGAGAGACUUCCAGGGACAGAGCCACAAAGAGGACCUACUUCUUCACCAGCAGGAACUGUCUUCUAAUUCUGACCCUUCCCACUCCUCAAGAAGGGGCUGUGUAUAGCAUCUUGCUUUUAUUUUGUCCAGACCAUAUACAUGGAAAUACAUUUCACUUUCCCUACAAUUACCAAAAAUGUAAUUCUUGUCUGUCACAGCACCAAGUAGAGCAUUAAGUCUUUAGCUUCCAGACACCUUUCUAUUUUGUCUUGAAAUAUGGGAACAUCAUUCUUUAAUAUCCUUUAUCUGGGAGGGCGGGGUGGGGGGGAGUUAAUAAAAGAGACUAAACUGGAUUACAUGUUUUGUUAGUAUAAGAGCAUGGAAUCUCCUGCCUUCAUGUCAUAGCUUUUUUUUUUUUUGUGGAUGGCAAUUCUGCCAAGUACAUCCUUUUUUUCUAAGCUAGUUUUUAGCUACGACCCGUCCCUCCAGCCAUUCACAGCACACAGCACACUAACUUGGCACAGAAUGUACAGGAAGAUGGGGCUAGGAAUGGGACAAGAAUGAAGUCAUCUCUUUAGUCAUCUGCUGACUCUGAUAGCAGACUAAUGAAACAAGCAAACCGUAUAUUAACAUAAAUUCCAGAUGAAAUGAGAACUGAGAAACACUACAAUAACACCAAGAGAAAAUUCAAUUACAAUUUCCUGAAUUAUGUCCAGUUAUAGAAUAGCCCAGAUACUAUCUACCCCACUCAAGUGUCUCAGAACUUCUAAAUUUCGCAAAAGGUCUUAUUUUAGGUCUAUGUAUCUGGUCAAAGGUAAGGGAAUAGCCUUAAACAUAUAAGCCAAAAAGUCUGAGCACAUAAAAUUCAAUGGGCAAAUCUGAAAAAUGUUUUAUAAAACAAAAAAAGUAAAUUUAUUUUUAAUGAUUACUAAAAUAGUUUACAUAAUAUACAAGCAGAUAUGCUAUCAGGGUACACUCAGAAAUGUCACAGUUUGUUUUUAAAAAAAUGCAUUUGUCCAGUGAAAUGUUCAAAAUGCGAAUGCCAUCUUGUGCUUCCUGAGCUAUUCUUAAACACCUAGAACAGCAGCACUUCCAUGUCUUUUUUUACUGAUUAUAUUUAUUCUCAUUAAAAUAAAAAGCACUAUCCAAUGCUGGACCUAAGCGGUCAAAACAAAUUCACCACUGCUUUAAGUGACCACAGUUGUCUCUCUCUCAAACUGUGUUCUUUUAUGUUUAUUUAUAUGUUUAAGGUGAUUUUGGUCAAUUCCUUUGCUUGCACAAAGAAGUCAGAAGCUCCACCGCCUCCAAGAGGUUUUCCUAGUUAAUGAGGAUGUUUACAGGACAGCUCAAGGGACUUGUGAAUAAAGGAUGGGUCCAAGAACCACUAAUCUCAGCUGAUACAAGAAAAUGUCCCAUUAAUUUGAGAGCAGUCUUCACACAUUCAUUCAAACUCAAUAAAACUGAAUGCACUUAGACCAGUGGUUCAAGAGCAUAUACUAACAGCAAUGAAAUGGAAGUGCUGCAAUUCGCCUUUUUUUUUUUUUUUUUUUUACACAAAAUAUUUA